GUGGUGGCUGGUUGUUUUCCCCAUCUCUCAGCCUACCCAGGCGGUGCACUACAUCCAGAGAACCUGCAACAACAUUUCGCUCCUCCUAUUGCCCUGCAAAUGUCUUGCUUUGAUGUUCUUGUCAGAUUUUUCUGCUAUUCCAUAAAUUCGAAGAUUCCAUCUCCGACUAUACCGGUCAUUCUCGUUUACCUUUUGACUCCAUUUCAGUGAGUUUCUUCUCCUGCUUUUCAACCUGAAUGUUCAAUGUUGCGUUCUGCUGCUUCAGAGUUUUUACUUCCUCAGCACUGAAAUCAAUCGAUUUCUUCAGGUUAACGAUACUGACAGUGUUCUUUUACACCAAAUUCAUGAUGUUAUCUGCGCUCUCUUUGAUUUUAGCCGUGAGGAUGCGAUGUUGUCCUGUAGCUGGCUCAUUGAUGGUUCACUUCUCAGCUUCUUUGGAAGUUGCUCCUUGGUUGGGGUAUUCGGUGUUACAGAUUCACAUUACCGAGCAUGUCUCAACCCGUACCGCGCUUUUAUCUGCCUAAAGGUAUCUUCACGCACGACUGGACAGGCCUUUUGGAUACGCUUGUCCAAGUGAGCAAGACCUGCCAGCAGAGCUCACUGGAGCAGGGAGACACGCCGUCAUCCUUUUGGCGCCUGACAAAGUACACUUUUUCUCUUCUAAAUAACACUAUAGUAACAUCUUCUGCACAAAGUUACAUUCCUAAUUAGAUUGGUGUUAAGUGAGAACGAAUCCUAAAGAUGGUCCAAUGGGCAUGGUCUGAAGCCUCUCGCCAUCUCAGUGUGUUGAACCACCUGAUUUCUUGCAGGCUUGAGAUUCAGAUCCUGCUGAACGAUGUUAAGCAGUCGAUUAACCACAUGCAGGGGACGCUGAACACCAUGCAGGGGCAGUGUAUUGAGUUGCAGACUGCCAUGUCUAAGGUAGUGUCAGAUGAGUCUCAGAGUGAUCUUCCUUGGCCUCAUCACAUGUCUCAGUUGCUCCUCCUUUGGAGGGAGGGGGACACCACCACGGGACAGCCCCUACACUUAUCGCUAGAGAUCGAACUUCAGACUCCCUCCAAAACCACUGAACCCUUCAACACACCGAAAGAGUUUAUGAUGCACACCCUUAGAGGGCGCCGGAACAGGAUAACUCCCUCCACCCUCACAAAGACACAGAGGAGGAGGAACUAUCCAACACCCAGGGAGAGAGAACGAGUGACCUCAAUCAAACACAGCCAGAAAGUGGAGGUGGAAGAGGCAUUAGAUAGAUGGAGGAGGUUACCCCAGAGGCCAUUCCUCCUGUUCAUGUGAGCAAGAAAGAGCAGAUGGCUUCUGAUCAGCCAAAUGGCAGGCAGAGGGAGAGGUCAUAGUGAUUCACACCCACAGAGAAAGACAACCCACACAAGCUCUUAGUUGAGAUGAACCACACAGAGGUAGAGGCAGAGGGCUUUCAGGCCUAGCAAGUCCCAUUUACUUAAUGAUAAUUUUUCACUGUCUUCAACCCUCAAGAACCAGGGUGAGUCUGGGUCACCCUUUUACUGGGCAGAUAGAACUUGCAUAUCGUCAAAGACUAGGCCGAAACGUUAAUCUUUUAACCUUGCUUGAAUAAAACAAUGCAUUUUUUAUAGUGAGCAAGAGUUGGGCUUUUUCCUUUUCUAUGAUGA